CACUAACAGGCUCCACCAAUACACUGGAACAGACUACUACAAAUUUCGUGAGGCUCAGAAUGUGAGUGAAUUCUAGAACUGGGGCAAAGGAAAUCAGGAGCAGACUGUAUUUGCAUAGACAGACCAACUCUGUGUAGGCGAUCAGCAGAAAGAUCUGCUUUGCUAAACUGACCAGUUUGGGGUCUUUCCUGUUGUACUGGAAAACCCAGGAGCACCACAGGUAGAAGAGUAUUUGUAAGCUAUCACGAUCACUAAGGAAUUUUGGUUCAAGUUCAGUAUAUCCUGAUCAUUAUGAACCUUCUGGAUAACAGCUGAAUCAGAACUUUACCAAGUGGUGAUUAAGAAAAUCCCAUGAGUCCAUUGGACUGCAGUCCUGCAGCAUUACACUUUAUGGAAGAAUACGCCUUCACUCCUUUUGACCAAGAAUCCUGAGUGGGGUGUUAACAUUAAAGAAGCAGCUGGACAACCACUGACAUAAAAAAUUCAGAAUCCACAUAAAUUAUGAGGAACAGGAAGAGAGGAGUGGCAGAGGUGAAGCAACUAAAAACCUUUCACAGACAGUCAGCGUUUACUCAAAUCUUGUUGCUAAAUAUACUCUCAUUGACUUCAAUGGGAUCAGCUUUAUGUCACUUCAGGAUGCUCCCGGAAGCAAAGAAUUCUCUGAAUAUAAGGCAGUGUUCGGACCACACUCAAGCAGUACACAGGCUGCUAAUGGCCAGAAAAGAAUCCCCCUGUCAGAGGGCAACUCUGUGCUGGACCUGAGUGCUGCUCUCUUGUUGUAAGAGGAUCAGGCCUUCUCUCCAUUCCAAAGGCUGAAGAUGAGGUGAGCAGAUGAGGUGAUGACCUAGUGAAGGGCAGAAGAUGCAACUAGAUUCCCACAGAAGAGAACAGUUUUAUUUCUCACAUUGAUUUCCAGUGCAAGACGUUAGACCUCUGAUAGUAUCAUUGAGUCUGUGAGGAAGAUCAUGAGACACAAUAAGUUACAGUGUGGUCAGGAUGAUACCCAGCUCUGUCUCCUUUUCAGCUGAUCCAGACAUCUCUAGUUUCAGAUUCCAUCAAUGUCCAGCAAAAAUUGAAGAAAGCAUGGUGAUUCAUUCUUCUAUGGAAUUUAGUGACCCAAUUGUAGCUAUGAGAAGUGAGUACACGUACCAUGGUGAUGGAUGCUAAUAGUAAUAAUAAAUAAAAUCCAAGUUUAAAUAUCCUUAUCUAUUCUGUUGACAUAACUUAUUCAUAUUAAUACUACCAUAAUUGUCCACAGAUUAGUUUUCUUGCUGAGAAACUAUUUUGUUUUCUAUGUUAGUGUUCAUGUUUGAUAUGAUGUACUUGUAUUUCUGUAACUUGUGGUCAUUCUCAGAUAUGCUUUGUUUGAGCUUAUUAUAGUACAGAGCAAUUUAGUGAUGUUUCU